rnacentral:lncRNA from 1 species
CUCCAAGAAAAUCAUAUAACUAAACCUAACCCCCAGAAAAUAAUCUGAAUAAAAAAUGAGGUAAAACUAUCCUUUUUCCUGAACAAUAGUACUAUCAAGAAGAAGAAAAAGGCUUUUUAAAAUAAAGAUUGAGACUUUAAAUGAAUAAAUUAAUCUAUGAAGUGAGAAAAUCAAGAAAAUAGCUGGAUUUAGAACUGAUUAUUUCAACCAAAAAGUAGAGAUUUUUAUACAACCACAGGAUUAAGAAAUCACUUCUAACGAAAGAUCAAUAAAGUUAGAGACACUAAAUGAACAAAAUCAAUGUAAAAGUGGGAAAAAAACAAGAAGACAGAUUAUUAGAUUCAGAACUAAUGUUUUAUUGAAGGUUUUUAAAAAGAAAGGGAAGCAGGAAAAUGGAGGAGUAGGGUUUUGAAAGAAGAAUAAAGAGGAAGAUUUAGUGAUACGUAAAAGAAAUCCCACCCAAUUGGGUUUUNNNNNNNNNNNNNNNNNNNNNNNNNAGCUGGAUUUAGAACUGAUUAUUUCAACCAAAAAGUAGAGAUUUUUAUACAACCACAGGAUUAAGAAAUCACUUCUAACGAAAGAUCAAUAAAGUUAGAGACACUAAAUGAACAAAAUCAAUGUAAAAGUGGGAAAAAAACAAGAAGACAGAUUAUUAGAUUCAGAACUAAUGUUUUAUUGAAGGUUUUUAAAAAGAAAGGGAAGCAGGAAAAUGGAGGAGUAGGGUUUUGAAAGAAGAAUAAAGAGGAAGAUUUAGUGAUACGUAAAAGAAAUCUCACCCAAUUGGGUUUAAGAUUUUAGGAGGAAAACUUGAAAUAGAAGAAGAGGUAUCUGGAUUCAUGCCCAAAUGGGCUGC